rnacentral:rRNA from 1 species
GACGAACGCUGGCGGCGUGCCUAACACAUGCAAGUCGAACGAGAAUUCUUAAUUUGAUCCCUUCGGGGUGACGAUUUUGAAGGAAAGUGGCGGACGGGUGAGUAACGCGUGAGCAACCUGCCUCUGAGAGAGGGAUAGCUUAGGGAAACUUAAGGUAAUACCUCAUGAUACAUUUUAGUCGCAUGACUUUAAUGUCAAAGAUUUAUCGCUCAGAGAUGGGCUCGCGUCCGAUUAGGUAGUUGGUGGGGUAACGGCCGUACCAAGCCCGCGAUCGGUAGCCGGACUGAGAGGUUGGACGGCCACAUUGGGACUGAGACACGGCCCAGACUCCUACGGGAGGCAGCAGUCGGGAAUAUUGCGCAAUGGAGGAAACCCUGACCCAGCAACGCCGCGUGAAGGAAGAAGGCC